rnacentral:rRNA from 1 species
GACGAACGCUGGCGGCGUGCUUAACACAUGCAAGUCGAACGGAAAGGCCCUGCUUUUGUGGGGUGCUCGAGUGGCGAACGGGUGAGUAACACGUGAGUAACCUGCCCUUGACUUUGGGAUAACUUCAGGAAACUGGGGCUAAUACCGGAUAGGAGCUCCUGCUGCAUGGUGGGGGUUGGAAAGUUUCGGCGGUUGGGGAUGGACGCGCGGCUUAUCAGCUUGUUGGUGGGGUAGGGGCUUACCAAGGCUUUGACGGGUAGCCGGCCUGAGAGGGUGACCGGCCUCAUGGGGACUGCGAUACGGCGCAGAGUCCUACGGGAGGCAGCAGUCGGGAAUAUUGCACAAUGGGCGGAAGCCUGAUGCAGCAACGCCGCGUGCGGGAUGACGGCCUUCGGGUUGUAAACCGCCUUCGCCUGUGACGAAGCGUGAGUGACGGUAAUGGGUAAAGAAGCACCGGCUAACUACGUG